rnacentral:misc_RNA from 1 species
AAUUCUCAACCUUAUUAGCUUUUGCUGAUAAUGGCUUGGAUGUGGGGGGUUAUCUUUUGCUGGCUUCUUUCAAAGAGGUCAGCUCCCCUGAAAUGCAUUAGCUGGUGCCCCGCGUGGACUGUCUAUUUGGUGUGAUAAUUAUCUACGCCGUGGAUGUCUGCAAUUGGUUUUGGCGCUGCUUCUAACUGUCUGUUCAUUUGGACAAUACAUGACA